rnacentral:snoRNA from 1 species
UUGGGAUGAGCUCUAUAGAUGACGAGUCUGAUUUCGUCCUCGCGAGGCUUCCUCGCUGGGUCGAAUCCAUGACGAGUCUUUCAAAUUUUACCAUUCAUGCAUUUCUGAAA